rnacentral:rRNA from 1 species
UACAGAGGUCUCAAGCGUUGUUCGGAUUCAUUGGGCGUAAAGGGUGUGUAGGUGGCGCCGUAAGUCGGGUGUGAAAUUUCGGAGCUUAACUCCGAAACUGCAUUCGAUACUGCGGUGCUUGAGGACUGGAGAGGAGACUGGAAUUCAUGGUGUAGCAGUGAAAUGCGUAGAGAUCAUGAGGAAGACCAGUGGCGAAGGCGGGUCUCUGGACAGUUCCUGACACUGAGACACGAAGGCCAGGGGAGCAAACGGGAUUAGAAC